AAUCUGGUAUGUACACACACACACACACACACACACACACACACACACACACACACACGCACGCACAUCAUCAGUGCAGUCAGACUCAGACCAGGCACAUGCUUCAAGUGGAGCCAGUCUCCAGGCCUAAGUGCAGGUACAGCUUCUCACACUCUUAUUUAAUCUAUAUUUAAUCUGUAAAGAUUCUUAUUAUUUUUCAUAAACUGAAGCUGGAUAGAAUACUUACUAAAUAUUGUAUACUUAUACUAAAUACACAUUAAAUGUAGCACGUGCUGUCUUUCUUUCUAAUCAUGGAAAUCAUGUCCCAGAAGUCUACAGUGUCACCCUCAUUGUCAUUCAGAGACAGCUGUCUGCAACCAGCAAGUCCACUUGGGAAGGAAAGAUUUUUAUGCCUUGCUCCACAGUAACAGUAACAAGAUUCUUUUUAUUGUUAAAAUCAACAGGUAAACACUUCUUGGGACCAUUUGGCAAGAAUUUUAAUCCAAAAUAUUCUGUCAACAUUGAUUCUAUUUAAGAACCAGGAACUACUGUCCAAUUGCUGUCAAAUGCUUCCUUAUUUCAUUUUUCAUGCAACCAGAGGAGCUGAAGGAGCUAAAGCCUCGGUCUCUUGGCUUUUCCUUUUCUCAAGUAUCUUUCUUCCAUCAGGAAAGUCACAUUACUCUGUGGGACUUUCCAGUGCCUUCCAAAGUUACCCAUAGGACUGAGACCAGAGUGUGUUCUAACACUAAAUAUCUAGCCAAGAUGGAGUUCCCUCACCUCCUUAAACUGCACACAGGCGUUUGAGUCUGAGCUUCUUUCCCUGUGUGAGUCUCUUCCUAAGAAUCUCGUGCAUUUUCGCCUUUCCUGUCUUUACAGGAGAGGGCCAUGGGAGGGUUGUGGUAGGGCACUUCCUCCUCUCCCAGGGCCCAUUUCUGGAGUUUUCUACAAAACUGGGGAUUAUUUAAGCUGUGAGGUUCAGAGAGGAAUGGCUGCUGAGACUGCCCAUCCCUUGGCAGUAAAUUCUAGAUAUUGAAAUGUAGCUUUGAAGACUACAUACUUGAGAUUCCCUAAGAUUUUUACAAGGCAUUGAGUACCUUUCCACAAGCCAGUAUUCUGCAAAUGUGAGUGUCCUCAGCUCACUGGUGUCUAAACAUAAAGGUUCUUUACAGGGCUCAUUGUAAAUGUGAAUUUUAUUGCAGUGUGUUUGGAGAAAGGCUGUGCAGCUGGGCUAUUGAAGCAUAGUACUUUUCCAUUUUUAAUGUAUGGUAAAUGCUGAUUAGGAAUGUCAUAAAGACCUCAGCAUACAUACCAUGAUUGCCUUUAAUCAUCACCCAUUUCCAUGAACCUGUGUGACAAACACAUUAACCAAGAAAGUGGCAUACUAUUACACUGUGGUACUUCUGAUCAUCUCUGUGCUUUUAAUUAUUCCCAGGAUAUUGAAGAACUUAUUAUUUAAAGGUUAGAAUAAUGCCCAAGAUAUGGACAAACCCAGUGAGUGUCAGACACUAGGAAUGUUGGAUGACUUCAGAGUUAUGAAAUUAUUUCAUUUCUCAUGAUAAUUCUCGGCUUGCCAAGUUAGUGAAUUUUGAAGACCGCUGAGAGCAGAUUUUCAGAUAAAUGUGAACUAACCCAUUCUUGUGGAGUCAGGGGCUUCCCUACAGCAUCAGUUCAUGUUUGGCUUGCCUGGCUCACAUUUGGGGAUAGAAUGAGUUAGGACAAGGUCUUAGCACAUUCCCUCUCUGGGAAAGAAAAACCAACUGCACAACUUGGCGAGGCUCUGAGAAUCUGCAGUUGCCAUGGAUACUUUAACCUUUAUAAAAAUGUUUUCUCCGUAUGGCAACACAACUUACUUCAAUGAAAAUAAAUAAGAAUUUUUUUUAUUUCUUUUCUGUCCAUCUGUUGCCUUCUUUUUUCCUCUAAUUAAAAGUUAGAGAUAACAAGUUAAGUUGCCCAAAUCAUUAUAAUGACUAAAAAUAAAUUAAAAUCUCAUAAAACCUCUCAAUCUUUUUUUAGGACAUGUGUUGGCAUGUCUCCUAAAUUAAAUUUUGCUGAUGUCUCCUACAUUUGAGAGUAACAUAAAGAAAAGAGUGUUUUAGUUCUAAGUUUGGAUAGGUUUUUUCAUCAUUUAUACUUGUGUAUAGUUACAGUAGAUAUAUAAACAAACAGAAGCUGACAGUUCUGAUUCACAAGCGCAAGAGUGUUUACCCAGUGCAUCUGAAUGACUAUCAGAGAAGCUUGAGUUUAUCUUCUUGGCUUCUGUUUCUGAGCGCUCCUGAAUUAUCCUUUAUCAUGUGCAUCCUACGUACUCGGAAGCCUUCCUCUAAAGAACUGUAUCCAGCCAAGCUCUGAGAACCAUCGACUGCCAAGAGUAUCUGUCCAAAGAGAAUCUGUGUAUGUCACACAACACCAGAGUGUGUGAAUAGAACUCCAUUAAGAGCAAAAAGAACCGUCCUCAUCUGCAUACACAUAUACACAUGUCAUAUAUAACUUAACUAAUAGAGAAAGCCCACACCCUGCUUUCAUAAAAACCCUGUAUAUCCUCGCAUAUAUAUAAGCUGUGUGUAUUUCUAUCUGAUUUCAUGAUCAAAGUACUUGAAAUGCCAAUAAUGAUAAUUAUAAUAAAUGAACAAACUUGCUUAUUGAACCUUUUUGUUAAAAAAAAAAAUCUCUGAGUCUGUCUCCCCUGAUCUCCAGCAUUUAGAAUUGACUGAUCAUCUUUGAAGCAGAGACUACCUGUGAGAUAGCCCCUUGUUAAAAGGAAAGCAAAGAACAUCUGUGAGAUAGCCCCUUGUUAAACAGGAAGUGCCGUUGCUGUCCCCGUUGCUUCCUGUAACAUUCCAAAGACUCAUCCUGCAAAAUAAAAGUCCUGGAACAGAUUUC
rnacentral:lncRNA from 1 species